rnacentral:rRNA from 1 species
UACGAAGGGGGGCUAGCGUUGCUCGGAAUCACUGGGCGUAAAGGGCGCGUAGGCGGCGACUCAAGUUAGAUGUGAAAGUCCUGGGCUUAACCUGGGGACUGCAUUUGAUACUGGGUUGCUUGAAUUCGGGAGAGGAUAGCGGAAUUCCCAGUGUAGAGGUGAAAUUCGUAGAUAUUGGGAAGAACACCAGUGGCGAAGGCGGCUCACUGGACCGGUAUUGACGCUGAGGUGCGAAAGCGUGGGGAGCAAACAGG